CACUCAGGUGCAGCCCCCCUCCCAGCCAGUGACAGACACCUUCGCGCAGCUCCUGGACACUGCCCACCCUCGUCUUCUGCUCCGGCACUGCCAGGAAUGAGCCUCCCCCCAAGAGUCUCCUCCAUUGUUCCUUAGAGGAACAGGUCACUGCUGCCACCGCCACCUCUUCUUCAGUGAGCCUCAGCUACUCUGACCUUCUUUGUCCUUUAUGGAUCUUUCCCAGGUGUGAAGGUUCCUCCCGGGCACUAUUGAGGUCAGACCAAUAUCCAGUGACUUGGGGACACUAGUUCACUCUAGCUCUGGCCCCUUCCUGAAGAGAGCCCAGUCCUCGCCCUUCUGUUUCCCAGCGGCAAGGCUGCCAGGUGUUUGGAGAGUGAACGUCAGGUCCUCCCUCCUCUGCUCCUUCCCUC